AAUGCAAUACUAAUUUUAUUUUCAAAGGUCUUUCCCUGGAUUUUUUAAGCGUGGUUCGAAAAGACGGCUACCCAGCUGUAGUAGACCAGCAAAGUGCAACAAAAUAUGGAAACCCUUUGUGUUUUCAGUUUUUCUGUUAAACAAAAAUACAGACAUGGUCCCGUCACCAGCUGAUGAGGUGCAGCUUUUGCAAGCUGGCUUGGGAAAACGGAAUCUUACCAUGCCUGAUGACUUGAAACAUUCAGAGGUCUCUAGCUUGUUCAGUGAUGCAUACCCAAAAAUGAACUCUGCAUCUGGAGGCUGGCUUCUUUACAAAGCAACUGGUGGACAGGGUAGAAGGCGGUUAAAUCUAGUUCCUCCGGAGUCUGAAGGCUACUGUGGGAGCACAAUUAGAAGUGCAACUGUAGGGGGGAAAACAAUGUUGUACAUUGUUCCAUUACAAGAUGAGUUUGACCUGUCACCUCUACCAUCUGAUGCCCCG